rnacentral:sRNA from 1 species
UGCAGAAUUCAGUGAAUCAUCGAAUCUUUGAACGCACAUUGCGCCCUUUGGUAUUCCUUAGGGCAUGCCUGUUCGAGCGUCACUAAAAACCCUCUCACAGAUAAUGUGGUAUUGGUAGAAGUGGAUAGUACUAACACUACCCAAUCUUACUCUACUCAAAUGAAUAGGCCAGAGAAGUGGACUAUGGUAAUAGACUCCAGAAGUGUUUUAAAAUGCUAAUCUAGUCUUACCCAAAGUCAUGUUCUGAGCUACUGGACCCCCAUUUAGUCCAAACCAAAGAGGUUGACCUCGGAUCAGGUAGGGAUACCCGCUGAACUUAAGCAUAUCAAUAAGCG